UGGGGAAUCUUGGACAAUGGGGGAAACCCUGAUCCAGCGACGCCGCGUGACCGAUGAAGCCUUUCGGGGUGUAAAGGUCUUUCAGCGGGGACUAGCUUGAAGGUACCCGCAGAAGCAGCUGCGGCUAACUACGUGCCAGCAGCCGCGGUAAUACGUAGGCAGCAAGCGUUGUUCGGAAUUACUGGGCGUAAAGCGAGUGUAGGCGGUUUGCCAAGUCCGUUGUGAAAUCUCCCGGCUCAACUGGGAGGGU
rnacentral:rRNA from 1 species